UGUUCUGUUUACAAGUAGCACGUGUGUUCAUUGUGUUUUCAACGUCGUUUAUUGUUGCAAAUGGACAAUCGUUUACAGAAAUAGACGAUUCUGAGUGUGUCGUGAAUAAAUCUCAGAAUGUGGACGUGAGUCAAAUACAAGUCCAUUUUUACGACCCUAUCUUGAAAGUUCACGGAUUCGUUGACACCGCAGCUGAAAGAAUCGCUCCAUUUUUGGAUAUAAAACGCAUCAAGCGCUUAGUAGUCUUCGUUCCUGGAUACAGAUCCUUCACAGGAGGAGAUACAGAACGAUGGGCGAUGGAAGCAUUCCUAAAACACUCCAAUACAUCCUUAAUUAUCAUUGACUAUUCCUACUAUACUAGAGAACCAAUCAACAAGAAAAACUAUUUGGAAGCCGUAAAAAAUUCAUACUCCAUCGGUAAAGCGAUAGGAGAGUUCUUAUCUAAGCUCCAAAAAUAUGGAUAUCCAUCUUCUAACAUCCAUUGCUUCGGCCAUAGCUUCGGAGGACAACUGCUGAGUUUCAUAUCCGAAGUAUACACAGAAAACACUAGAGAGAAAUUGUGGAGAGUAACAGGUAUAGAUCCAUCAGGAACUUGUUUUGAAGGCAGCUCUAUUGAUAACCAAAUAAGGUCUGGAAUUGGCGAUUACGUAGAAGUAUACCAUUGUAGUAAAUAUGGUACAAGUAAUGAAGUCGGAGAUAUUGACGUUAUGUUAAACCAAGGAAAAGAUAACCAACCAGGUUGUGAAGGGGGUAAACUCUUUUCCGAAGUUGGAUUUGUUGAUGCAAAUGUUUGUAGUCAUGUUAUGUGCGCUACAUUCUGGUUAAACUCUGUUGAUUGUAAGAAUUGUUAUCAGGCUUUUGAUUCCUACAAAGGUUACUUGAAAGGUGGCGAUGGUCAGACUGUGGUUGGUUAUCAAAGUUCUGGUGAUGCUUUUGGUGUAUUUUACGCUUCUACUAAUAUUUAAAUCAUUGAUGACGUAAUACUUACGAUUGUUUAAGACAUUCGGCUUAAUUCCUACGGAUUGUAGGUAUAUGUAUUGUUUCCUACAUUAAUUUAUUUUGUUUUUUGCUAUAAAAUAGUUUUUCAUUAAAUAUACUUUUUAUUUUAAACCUAGAGUUUCUAAUAACGACCUAACAAACACAAAGGUAAUUAUCAUCGUGAAAAUCGUACACAAAAACGUUAAUGUGCGGUGCUAAUCAACAUUCCUGUAACAUAUUUCAUUUCCAAGUUAUGCAAAUUAAAUAAAUAUUUGUAGACUGAAGGUAUUGUUUGUUCAACAUCUCAGUCUACAUGGUAAAUGGUU